rnacentral:rRNA from 1 species
GAUGAACGCUGGCGGCGUGCCUAAUACAUGCAAGUCGAGCGGACAGAUGAGAAGCUUGCUUCUCUGAUGUUAGCGGCGGACGGGUGAGUAACACGUGGGUAACCUACCUAUAAGACUGGGAUAACUCCGGGAAACCGGGGCUAAUACCGGAUAAUAUUUUGAACCGCAUGGUUCAAUAGUGAAAGACGGUUUCGGCUGUCACUUAUAGAUGGACCCGCGCCGUAUUAGCUAGUUGGUAAGGUAACGGCUUACCAAGGCGACGAUACGUAGCCGACCUGAGAGGGUGAUCGGACACACUGGAACUGAGACACGGUCCAGACUCCUACGGGAGGCAGCAGUAGGGAAUCUUCCGCAAUGGGCGAAAGCCUGACGGAGCAACGCCGCGUGAGUGAUGAAGGCCUUCGGGUCGUAAAACUCUGUUAUAAGAGAAGAACAAAUUGUAGAGUAACUGCUACAGUCUUGACGGUACCUAACCAGAAAGCCACGGCUAACUACGUGCCAGCAGCCGCCGCGG